rnacentral:lncRNA from 1 species
CGACUACCGACAUAUUAUUAUUAUCGACAUAUAGUCGGCUUAUCUUUCCACGAUCAUAUAAUGCCGGAAUGUACAGAACUUACGUAUCUAAUCGUUAUAAACGGUUAUCAACUAUAUGUCACGAUCAUUAGUGGAUAUAAACAGCCCAUUAACUCUAUGAUUAUGGCCCGAUAAUUGAGAUAAUUACUUUUUUAGUACUAUAAAAAAUGGAACUACGUGCUCGACGGUUACAUCUG